AACGCUGGCGGCGUGCCUAAUACAUGCAAGUCGAACGAGUUUUGGUCGAUGAACGGUGCUUGCACUGAGAUUCGACUUAAAACGAGUGGCGGACGGGUGAGUAACACGUGGGUAACCUGCCCUUAAGUGGGGGAUAACAUUUGGAAACAGAUGCUAAUACCGCAUAAAUCCAAGAACCGCAUGGUUCUUGGCUGAAAGAUGGCGCAAGCUAUCGCUUUUGGAUGGACCCGCGGCGUAUUAGCUAGUUGGUGAGGUAACGGCUCACCAAGGCGAUGAUACGUAGCCGAACUGAGAGGUUGAUCGGCCACAUUGGGACUGAGACACGGCCCAAACUCCUACGGGAGGCAGCAGUAGGGAAUCUUCCACAAUGGACGCAAGUCUGAUGGAGCAACGCCGCGUGAGUGAAGAAGGCUUUCGGGUCGUAAAACUCUGUUGUUGGAGAAGAAUGGUCGGCAGAGUAACUGUUGUCGGCGUGACGGUAUCCAACCAGAAAGCCACGGCUAACUA
rnacentral:rRNA from 2 species